UACGGAGGGGACUAGCGUUGUUCGGAAUUACUGGGCGUAAAGCGCACGUAGGCGGAUUUGUAAGUCAGGGGUGAAAUCCCGGGGCUCAACCUCGGAACUGCCUUUGAUACUGCAAAUCUCGAGUCCGGAAGAGGUGAGUGGAAUUCCUAGUGUAGCGGUGAAAUGCGUAGAUAUUAGGAGGAACACCAGUGGCGAAGGCGGCUUACUGGACUGUAACUGACGUUUGAGGCUCGAAAGCGUGGGGAGCAAACAGG
rnacentral:rRNA from 1 species